AGCUAGUGUGGUGUAGUGGUUUGAGUGUUGGACUAUGACACUGAGGACCAGGGUUCAAUUCCCAGCUUGGCCA